rnacentral:rRNA from 1 species
AUUGAACGCUGGCGGCAGGCCUAACACAUGCAAGUCGAACGGUAACAGGAAACGGCUUGCUGUUUCGCUGACGCGUGGCGGGCGGGUGAGAGAUGUCUGUGAAACUCCCUGAUGGCGGGGGGUAACUCGUGGAAACGGUAACUAUAACAGCAUAUCGUCGCAACACCAAAGAGCAGGAGCCCUGGGCAUCUUGCCCUCGGGUGUGCCCAGAUGGGAUUAGCGUGUUGGGGGGGUAAAGGCUCACCAAGGCGACGAUCCCUAGCUGGUCUGAGAGGAUGAGCAGCCACACUGGAACUGAGACACGGUCCAGACUCCUACGGGAGGCAGCAGUGGGGAAUAUUGCACAAUGGGCGCAAGCCUGAUGCAGCCAUGCCGCGUGUGUGAAGAAGGCCUUCGGGUUGUAAAGUACUUUUGUUGGGGAAGAAGAGAGUAAGGUUAAUACCUUGGCUUAUUGACGGUACCCACAGAAGAAGCACCGGCUAACUCCGUG